rnacentral:miRNA from 1 species
UUGCCGGACGCUGAAUGUCA